rnacentral:rRNA from 1 species
AUUGAACGCUGGCGGCAGGCCUAACACAUGCAAGUCGAACGGUAACAGGAAGAAGCUUGCUUCUUUGCUGACGAGUGGCGGACGGGUGAGUAAUGUCUGGGAAACUGCCUGAUGGAGGGGGAUAACUACUGGAAACGGUAGCUAAUACCGCAUAACGUCGCAAGACCAAAGAGGGGGACCUUCGGGCCUCUUGCCAUCGGAUGUGCCCAGAUGGGAUUAGCUAGUAGGUGGGGUAACGGCUCACCUAGGCGACGAUCCCUAGCUGGUCUGAGAGGAUGACCAGCCACACUGGAACUGAGACACGGUCCAGACUCCUACGGGAGGCAGGAGUGGGGAAUAUUGCACAAUGGGCGCAAGCCUGAUGCAGCCAUGCCGCGUGUAUGAAGAAGGCCUUCGGGUUGUAAAGUACUUUCAGCGGGGAGGAAGGGAGUAAAGUUAAUACCUUUGCUCAUUGACGUUACCCGCAGAAGAAGCACCGGCUAACUCCGUG